GGUCUGAAUCAUCGUAGGCCUUGGGUUAAGGCAGGUUCGUGAGGGUUCACGGCCUUGAUUAAUAAUACUGUGUAGCUUUAGGAUCGUCUUUUUAAAAUGGCUUUGGGCAACUAAGUGACUUUUAAAUGCUAUUUACUGCAAAACUUAACCCCUUUAUUAUUACCCCUUGUACCCCCUUGCAUUAAUCAUGCAUCUGCCGGUGUGGCUUGCUGAGUAUUGUGGUUGUACUCAUUCUUGUUCAAUCUUUCCCCCCUUCAGUAAGAGAAGCUUCGGAGAAGAUGUCUUAGGUGGAGUCCUGGCUUAUACCCCAGUUGAGCGCCUGUGAAGAUGGAGCCGUAGGCCCGCUAGUCCGCUGUUGUUUAUUUUUGUUUGUCAGGCCGAAGUGCCUUUGUAAUAAUGUAAAUAUUAUCGAUAUAUUAAAGAUGUGCCUUUUGUAUCAUGUUUGUUUGGUGUACCCCGGCUUUUCCUGGGACGGGGAUUAAUACACUAGCGUUCGGGAAAAUGUAUUUUUCUCGGUCGCGACAGUUAAUAUUGUUUAAUUAUUACUUAACUGUUUUAUUAAAUUCUGAAAUGUUUAUUAAAUGCUGUUUAUGCAAAUGAAACCCUACUAUGCCAUCCUUUGUUAUCCUGUGCACUUGCAUAUUUGCUGCAUGGCUGUCGUCAGCUCGUGUCGUGAGAUGUUUGGUCAAGUCCUAUAACGAGCGAAACCCUCGUUUUGUGUUGCUGAGACAUGCGCCUAAGGAGAAAUUGUGGUACGUAGUGGUAAUAGUACGCGCCCCGCUCCGAAACAAAGAAAAAGGUGCGUGCCGCACUCACGAGGGACUGCCAGUGAGAUACUGGAGGAAGGUGGGGAUGACGUCAAGUCCGCAUGGCCCUUAUGGGCUGGGCCACACACGUGCUACAAUGGCAAUGACAAUGGGAAGCAAGGCUGUAAGGCGGAGCGAAUCCGGAAAGAUUGCCUCAGUUCGGAUUGUUCUCUGCAACUCGGGAACAUGAAGUUGAAAUCGCUAGUAAUCGCGGAUCAGCAUGCCGCGGUGAAUAUGUACCCGGGCCCUGUACACACCGCCCGUCACACCCUGGGAAUUGGUUUCGCCCGAAGCAUCGGACCAAUGAUCACCCAUGACUUCUGUGUACCACUAGUGCCACAAAGGCCUUUGGUGGUCUUAUGCAUACCACGGUGGGGUCUUCGACUGGGGUGAAGUCGUAACAAGGUAGCCGUAGGGGAACCUGUGGCUG
rnacentral:rRNA from 1 species